ensembl:lncRNA
GCUGUUCUUGCUGGCUCCUGCAUAGUGACUGGUGGGAUGCAGUGAUCUGCUGUGCUGAAAGCAAGCGAAGCAUGCAUCACAGUGCAGUGGAAGUCUUGGAGAUCUUCAGUGUCAUAGGCUCCUGAAAAGAGUUAAAGCCCUGGAGGCUGCUGAGGAAGAACAGCUCUAGCAAAUCUUUUGGGAAGAGGUCCACUACCUUGGGAGCUGAACUGCAACGUAGAUGGAAGAGGCCAGGUACAGUCUUAUUGACCUUUGGGAAAGGAAACAUCUUGUUCAAGUCCAACCACUUUGUUUGCAUGUUCUGCAACUGCACAGCUUGGACAAUACCACCAGUUUAAGUAAGUCAGCACAAUAUUUUUGCAGUAAGGCUCAAAGCUGAGAUGUUUUUGAUCUUUGAAGAACAAUCACUGGGGAAAUCAUUCACUGUCCUAUCAUCUGGAAUAAGAAUAUGUGGGGAGAAUUUCAAUUGGAGUAAGAACAGCACAGUUCCAAAGUGCUCAAGAUUUGCUGACUUGACAUGGUUUGGUUUAGAAGGGAUACUGAUGCAGCUUAAUAUUCUGUAAAAUCUCAAUAGCAUAUAAUAGUCGUAUGUAUCUCUUUUGUGGGUCCAGAAAAGGUUCAAAGAGACAGGCUCUGUAGUUGUUGUAAUGUCAAGGCAAUUACUGUUAUUGUGGAAAUGAUGCUUGAAGCAUGCUAGAGAGAGGUCACAGUCAUCUAUGAACUGUUGUUUUAGUUGAUGGCUAAUUGUAUGUUAUUCUAAUUGACUUUUCUAGAGGCAAUAUAUAUUGUCUGUUCAUUAAAACUUGAGAAUU